GGAACUUACUCCUGAGGGAGUUGCGGGCUCCGCGUCCGUGGCUUCUUUCAGUGCUUCCCUUGAGGGCUGAGUGGCGGUGAGUGUCGGGUGUCCAUCAGCCUCCCGGCAUGCGGGAGCCUGCGGCGGGAGGAUGCGGCUCUUCAGCUUCCCACGCCAGCCGUGCGAGGUGCACCCAUGUCCGUGCCCUUGGACCUUUGCUAGGAACACUCACUUGCACAACAUUCUGAAAUUUUUUGGUCAUUGCAACGAUCUUGAUCGGGAAAUGAGGAAGUGCUUGAAGAAUGAGUACAUGGAGAAGAGGAACAGGAGCAGGGAGCACGGCGCUGCGAUGCGAAGCAGGCUUUCUGAUCCUCCAGAGGAAACUGGAAGAUAGGCUCACUGGAUGCCUCGGCUGGGAGACCUGAAGGUGGCCGGUAGCUGAAAAAAAAUCCCUUCCUUUUGGCCUCUAGGACCCUUUGAAUGGAAAGCACUCUAUGAAGAACUGAGCCGUGGAGAAUCAGGAGAACAUGGGGUCCGGGACUUGCUGAACUUUAAUGCCAUGCACUGUGCCUCUGAAAGUUUCCUCCACUGCUGCCCUGAAUCUGUGUCUACCCAGGCCUGACUCGCCUCCUGCAAUAAAGGCUUAGCACAG
rnacentral:lncRNA from 1 species